UUACGGUCAAAUCACGCUGAAAACACCGGUUCUCGUUCGAUCCCCGAAGUUAAGCAUCGUAGAGCCAGGUCAGUACUUAGAUGGGGGACCGCUUGGGAACACCUGGUACUGUAAG